UACGGGAGGCAGCAGUGGGGAAUAUUGCACAAUGGGCGCAAGCCUGAUGCAGCAACGCCGCGUGAGGGAAGACGGUUUUCGGAUUGUAAACCUCUGUCUUUGGUGACGAAGAAGUGACGGUAGCCAAGGAGGAAGCCACGGCUAACUACGUGCCAGCAGCCGCGGUAAU
rnacentral:rRNA from 1 species